rnacentral:rRNA from 1 species
UGGGGAAUCUUGCGCAAUGGGCGAAAGCCUGACGCAGCGACGCCGCGUGAGUGAUGAAGGCCUUCGGGUUGUAAAGCUCUGUGGGGAGGGACGAAUAAGUGUUGGCUAAUAUCCAGCGCGAUGACGGUACCUCUUUAGCAAGCACCGGCUAACUCUGUGCCAGCAGCCGCGGUAAGACAGAGGGUGCAAACGUUGUUCGGAAUUACUGGGCGUAAAGCGCGUGUAGGCUGCUUCGAAAGUCGGAUGUGAAAGCCCUGGGCUCAACCUAGGAAGUGCAUUCGAAACUUCGAAGCUUGAGUUCUGGAGAGGAAGGCGGAAUUCUCGGUGUAGAGGUGAAAUUCGUAGAUAUCGAGAGGAACACCGGUGGCGAAGGCGGCCUUCUGGACAGUGACUGACGCUGAGACGCGAAAGCGUGGGGAGCAAACAG